CAGCCGCCGCGGUAAUACGAAGGGGGCUAGCGUUGUUCGGAUUUACUGGGCGUGAAGGGCGCGUAGGCGGACUGAUAAGUCAGGGGUGAAAUCCCAAGGCUCAACCUUGGAACUGCCUUUGAUACUGUUUGUCUUGAGUUCGAGAGAGGUAAGUGGAACUGCGAGUGUAGAGGUGAAAUUCGUAGAUAUUCGCAAGAACACCAGUGGCGAAGGCGGCUUACUGGCUCGAAACUGACGCUGAGGCGCGAAAGCGUGGGGAGCAAACAGGAUUAGAUACCCCGUAGUCCCUGUCUCUUAUACA
rnacentral:rRNA from 1 species